rnacentral:tRNA from 1 species
GGGGUUAGAGCUCAGUGGUAGAGUACAUGCCUAGCAUGCACAAGGUCCUAGGUUCAAUCCCCGGUAUCGCCA